rnacentral:lncRNA from 1 species
GGAGCCAGUAUUAAGUGCGGCCUUCUUCCUCGACGUUCCUGGAUUCAAUGUGCUGAAACUUUUUCCUUGAUGUGUUGACGCUGUCUCAACACUCUAGUUUGCACUUCUUGGAUGAUCCAUGACAUGGUAUUUCCUUCUACUAGGAUUAUUAGCAGCAGGCCUAAAGAUCAUCUGGAACUCUGGACAGUAGAGUAUGUCUUGCAAGCGUCAUCGGCAUGGUUGUUUAAGUAAUGAUUUAUUUACUGAUUUGUGCUACUCGUCACUGAAGCUGCAGGACACUGGAGAUAUUUCUGCAGGAAAAGAAACCAUAUAUAUUUAUAUAGGUGCACACAGAAGUCCAACCAGUUCGGUUUUGUUCACAUUAUUGUGCGACACAAGUAAUUAUUAUAUACCAAAUGGAAGAGUAGGAGUCCUAGAGUGAAGAGUAGUCCCAUGCACAUAUGGCAGCUGAGCUCGUUACUUUAAGAGAAAAAAUAGGAACUGGACUUCAGUGUGUGCGCGCGUGUGUG